AUUGAACGCUGGCGGCAGGCCUAACACAUGCAAGUCGAGCGGAUGAAGGGAGCUUGCUCCUGGCUUCCGUGGCGGACGGGUGAGUAAUGCCUAGGAAUCUGCCUUGUCGUGGGGGAUAACGUCCGGAAACGGGCGCUAAUACCGCAUACGUCCUGAGGGAGAAAGUGGGGGAUCUUUGGACCUCGCGCUAUCUGAUGAGCCUAGGACGGAUUAGCUAGUUGGUGGGGUAAAGGCCUACCAAGGCGACGAUCCGUAACUGGUCUGAGAGGAUGAUCAGUCACACUGGAACUGAGACACGGUCCAGACUCCUACGGGAGGCAGCAGUGGGGAAUAUUGGACAAUGGGCGAAAGCCUGAUCCAGCCAUGCCGCGUGUGUGAAGAAGGUCUUCGGAUUGUAAAGCACUUUAAGUUGGGAGGAAGGGCAGUAAGUUAAUACCUGGCUGUUUUGACGGUACCAACAGAAUAAGCACCGGCUAACUUCGUG
rnacentral:rRNA from 1 species